UUUUUUUCCUGGUGUCUUUAGCU
rnacentral:piRNA from 1 species